rnacentral:pre_miRNA from 1 species
UAGGUAGUUUCAUGUUGUUGGGCUUUUAUUUUACACACAAGAACAUAAAACUAUCUGAU